UGGAUACAAUUUUACUUAUAUGAAAGUUCAAGUGGUCAUAUGAUUUAAAAUAUCUUGGGACUGCAUUAUGAUAUAUAUAACAUAUGUAUAUAGGUAAUGAGAAUUUUUAAAAAUGUCCUUUUAAUGCAGCUUCAUUUAAUUGAAAAGAAGUCUUUUGAGGAAUGAGGAUAAAAUACUCUUCCCUUUUAUUCAAUACCUUCAUCUCAGUUUUGAAUUUCAGAUUGGUUGAAAUUCUUUGAUAAUGCAAUCACUGUACACUAGUUUCUUUGCAUCUUACUUCGUUAUAUAUUUUUGUAUGUAUAAAAGAAAAGUUAGUCACUUUAUAUUUUUAAUUAUAUUCUGUAAAUGCUAAAAUAAAUUGGCAUGGCUUUUAUUAUUAAUAUUUAUAAUGUCAAAGAGAAGUAGUUGUUAAUUUCUGUGUCAUUGGUCUCUUGUGGAGAGUUGUCUCAUUGAAUUAGCAAUCAUACCACAUCUUCUUUUUUAUACAGACAUGGCAAAACAUUUUUCUUCGUCAUAUAAAUGACCUAUUGAAAAAACUUUUUAUAGACGUUAUCUGUCCUGAACCUAAUUUUAAUGAUUGAAAAAAAUCUUUAAAUCUUAUCAUCUAACUUUCAUGUCAGAUUAGUUUCUGAGAAAAGAUUUCCUAUACUGACAAUUUUGUAAAGUUUUCUAAUUUUCAGCUGCCAUUUUACUUCAUUCAUGGUCCAUCAAUCAAAAUCUUGUGUUAAUGAUUUAGUCUGUUUCUAAGUUACAGUGUCACAGUUUAAGUAUUUUUUAUCUCGCAUGUUGAUUUGUUGUUAAGAAGAUUUAAUGGUUGUCUGAAAAAUGUAACCUGCCCAGAAUAUUCAUUGUCAACUGAUUAAUGUCUAGCUAUUGUUUUUGAUGAGUUGAUGGCAAGAUAUAUUCGAUUGACUAACGUAACCCAUGACUUUUACAUAUAACAAGUUGUAUUUCUUUGCCUAAUGUGUCAUGUUAGUAUCACUGUUACACUAGUACUGUCAGUAAAUUAUCAUUUAUUAUACAGCUAUAUUUCUGGUGAGUUUUUUGUUAGUAUUUGUACUUUUAUAACCAUACUCAUGAUUUCUUCAGAUGUAAAAGGACAUGAAAGUUAGCUAAGAAUAACAAACUAAAGACAUGUAUGUAGAUCUCACUCAAUAUUGUUGACAAGGUUAAAGAUUCAAUGAUGAAGAGAUAUUACCAUUAACUGUUGACCAAAAGCAAUUUAUUACUGUAGUUAUAUUAUUGUUUCAGUAUUUUUCUGUACAUACAUAUUAUUUCUUUUUUAAGUACCAGAUUUAUAUUUAGUUAAAUUUAAUUCAGUAUACUCUUUCUGUGAUAUCAGUUAUACAGUAUAGGUUUAUAUAUGUUUCUAAAUAAAUACUUUUGUAAUGUUAAAGAUAUAAUAUUUUGUAACC
rnacentral:lncRNA from 1 species